rnacentral:rRNA from 1 species
GAUGAACGCUGGCGGCGUGCCUAAUACAUGCAAGUCGAGCGAAUAGACGAGGAGCUUGCUCCUCUGAUGUUAGCGGCGGACGGGUGAGUAACACGUGGAUAACCUACCUAUAAGACUGGGAUAACUUCGGGAAACCGGAGCUAAUACCGGAUAACAUGUUGAACCGCGUGGUUCAACAGUGAAAGACGGUCUUGCUGUCACUUAUAGAUGGAUCCGCGCCGCAUUAGCUAGUUGGUAAGGUAACGGCUUACCAAGGCAACGAUGCGUAUCCGACCUGAGAGGGUGAUCGGCCACACUGGAACUGAGACACGGUCCAGACUCCUACGGGAGGCAGCAGUAGGGAAUCUUCCGCAAUGGGCGAAAGCCUGACGGAGCAACGCCGCGUGAGUGAAGAAGGUCUUCGGAUCGUAAAACUCUGUUAUUAGGGAAGAACAAAUGUGUAAGUACCUAUGCACGUCUUGACGGUACCUAAUCAGAAAGCCACGGCUAACUACGUG